rnacentral:misc_RNA from 1 species
AAGUCGUAACAAGGUUUCCGUAGGUGAACCUGCGGAAGGAUCAUUAGCGAAGCCCGCUGUGCGGGUGAAACACUCAAUGCUGCGUUUGCGGCCGAUGCUAUUGUUGUUGUUUAAUUUACAACUGUCAGCAAGGGAUCGUUUGGUUCUCGU